GCCAAUUGAGAUGCUGUGGUCGAACUGGAGACACCCCGGGCUUUGGAAUCUGCCAAUUACUAGAGGUGCGGCAUGAUGGACGCAUGUAUUUCCCCUCAGGCUCGGAAAUGAGAACAUUGAUUAUUCCUCUGCCCAUAUCAUACGUUUCAUCUCCAGGUCCUAGCUAAAACAAAUUCGGGGUUUUUUACCGCCUCGCGCUAAUGGGUUUUAUAUCUUUGGGGCUUGUAUAGCAUGCAUCGGGAAUCAAAUUCAUAUGGAGAGUUUAUGUAAAAAUUUGGAAUGAGACCCAGAAAGCCGCCGAGGUUAUGAGAGAAAUCGUGCAGUGAUCUGAUCAUCAUCCGAAUACAUCGUUGGUUGUAUGAAGAACGAAUCAAAUCAAUUUAACGAACAAGUACAAACCGUCAGAAUUAAGAUUGUGUGUAUAGCAUAAAUUCCUUCUGC
rnacentral:sRNA from 2 species